UCUCUGUUAGUAUAUCGGUUAGUACACGCGCCUGUCAUGUCCUUUAAUGGCCGCGCGAAAGCGGGGUUCGACUCCCCGACAGAGAG